rnacentral:piRNA from 1 species
UGGGAGAUGAGGUUUCAGGAACAGACCCU